UAAAAUGGGUUUCUUUUACUUUUUAGGAUUUAAGUGCCCUGUAUGCUCAAAAUUUGUACCUUCAGAUGAAAUGGAUUUGCAUCUUGUGAUGUGUUUAACAAAGCCAAGAAUAACCUAUAAUGAGGAUGUACUGAGUAAAGAUGCUGGGGAAUGUGCAAUAUGCCUUGAAGAAUUGCAGCAGGGAGAUACUAUAGCACGACUGCCUUGUCUAUGCAUAUAUCAUAAAGGCUGCAUAGAUGAAUGGUUUGAAGUAAAUAGAUCUUGCCCGGAGCACCCUUCAGACUAAGCAUCAGCUUCCUGUUUUAUAGGUUUUCUUGUGUUUUCAAGAUGCUUGAAAAACUGAGAGGAGAUGAGGAUCUGUCUCUGGAAAAAGAAAAACAAAACUGCAGGCAUACUCAGCCAGAGAUCUGAGUUCUGUGAGACUUGGUAACGCAGAGAUGGACAAUCACACGGGGAAAAACCCUGCUGAAGAGAGGGCAGUUGCCACAGAACUCAGUGUACCGAACAUGCAUAUAGAGGACACACAGGGAUUUUGAAAAUGCUGCACCUCCCUUACUAGUCAUCUACAUAGGUAAUACUGAUAAACAUUUUGUAUUCAGACGCCAAAGUUAACUGAUUUAAAAGUUGAUUUUUUUAAGUUCUCUAGAGCUGCGCAACUAGUUGUGUUCGACUUGUUUUUUUCUUGUUUGGGGUCACUUUAUUUUCCCCUACAUGAUGUUUCUGUAUUCGUCUGUUCUUAAAUUGAAGACCACAUAAUGUACUUCCUAUAAAUUAAAGUCUUAAAUGUGAAACCAAGAAAUGAAAUCAAGCAGUAAAACAUUUUCUGAAUGUAGACCAUGAUCUCAAAUUCUUCUAUUUUUUCUCCUAUGAGUAGAAAAUAGACUUCUGCAUAGGAGAGCUAAAAUAUGUUAGUAUUUUAAAUUCAAGGUUUAACAUUAUCAGAAUGCAGUCCAAAGAGUAAAUCAAGUUACAUAAUUACAUUUUAAUGAACUGAGGCUAAGAUUGUCUAUUGAAUUGCAAUUUAUUACACGUGUUAUUUCCUCUUAAGUAAAACUGCUCAGUAGUUAAUCAGUAAUGAAUCAUCUUGCAGCAGCUAUGCAACUUUUUAAAAAAUACAAAUUACCAAUUUUAAGUGCUGCCAGCUAUAAUAACUUUGUUUUAACGGGUAUUUUUGUUUGUUCUUUUCAUGUAAUUAUUUCAUUGUGCUUUGCAUCUCCAGACAGUUUUCCCACAUUUGGGUAGAAUGUUUAGCAGGUUGUAAACUUAGUAACUUAUGAAAAGGGUAAAAUUUUCUUGAGUGGAAACUUGGAAUAACUUGAGGGACAUUUUAUAUACUUUUAAAAAUCAGAAUUUAAUUGGGAUGCCGGAUUUAUAGCAAUUUGCAUCUUUAAUUUUCCAGAUAAUCUGGAAGUUAGUGUUUGAUAAAUGAUUUUUUAAAGCAAAUAUGAAGAUUUUGUUAAUUUAUAAUUUAUUAAUGUGUUAUUACUGUAAUUGAAAAUGUUAUAGAUAAUAGACUUUUAAAUUCAGUCUUGUGUAGAAAGAAAUGUAUUAAGCAAAAUUAUGUGAAUAAAUAUUCCCACAAAAUACAUCUGAAUGGUUACAAAAUACUGGAAGAGAGCUAUCAGGCUACAAUAGUGAAUGUCUUUUUUUUUUUUUUUAAUCUAAAAAGAUACCAAUAAGUAGAUUUCAUAUUUUCAACAUACAGGGAAAAUGUUAUCAGUGAACAUUUAAGCAGUGCACUUUACUUGGUAUAAUUGAAAGUUGCACAAGUACUGUUUCCUUAUUUUACGCUUUCUUUAACGUAUUUAAGUAUUUGCUUUUCUAUUUAAUGCUGCUACUCUUACUCUCAAAAUUUUUCCCUAUUCUGCUUCUGUUUCAUAUUUUUUGAAAGGGCACGUACAGGAGCAACUGCUGCUACCCAGAAAAAUUGGUGUUUUAGAAACAAUUGAAAGAGUUUUUCAUUGCUUUCUGUGUGAUUCCAGACCAGAUAACAUUUUCCCUAAAGUUAUGCUGUGAAAUGCCUUUUGUUAUGCUGCAAUUGACAAAAGCGUCCCAAACCUCCAUUGUGACGGCUGACAGCACGGUUUCAUAGGUGCUUUUUAAACCAGUUAUGGGAAAUACUCUUCCCUCACGGAAAAUCUUUCCUUCAAUUUUCUUCUGUUACCAUGAAAUCUUAGUAUGAAUCCAUUUUGUUUCACAUUUUUCAUUUUGUAAGCUUCCACACAUAACACAUGUACCCGCUCACCCCAGGAAAGACCUCUUAGAGUAUUUUGUGAAUGAUUCAUUUUUUUCCUACUACUGGUAUAUUGUUAUGGUAAGAAUUGUUUUGUUGUCUUCCGUUCUUAAAGGCACAGCUUAACUCUAGCUGUGGUAGUGACGCAUUAAUAUUCUUCUGGAAGUUGAUUUUCUGAUAUGUGAUUUACUCAUUGACUUUUUAAUUUUACAGACUUUAGUUCUUUUCCUUCUAUGUCCUGUUCCAUAUCAGCCUCUCUCGCUCAGCCUCUGACCUACGGUUCUGUGCUGCAGCAGCUACAGCAGAAGAAAGUUCAGUGUUUGUUAGUUCAAGUGCUCCUUGAUUAUUAUAUUUGUCUAGAACAGUACUUACUUAAAAUCUGUUUAUAGCAGCCCUUUUGUGUUAAAAUUGAUAGAGGUUAGCAUUUUUUACUUUAGGUUCAGUCUCCAUCAAUGACUCCCCAGAAAGAAGAAUUUAGGAAUUGAAAAUGUUUUUAUGCCCAGAUGCUCUGGUUAUUAUUCAAAGUCAAAAUUGCUACUCUGGAAAAUAUUAUAAUAUUCUACAUAAUGUCACUUACAAUAUUUGUGUAUCUGUAUGUGGACACUGAAUAGUGUAAGUAGGAUACAAAAAUCACAUUAGAUAUUUAAAUAUGUUGCUUGAAACUACUGACAACUGAACAUUAUGGAGACAAAAUAAAGAUUGAAAACCUAGCUAUCAAGUUGGUGAUUGACAGCCUUCCAGAAUCUUUGUAAAUACACGUUUUAAAAUGAGAUCGCACUUGCGUAAAUAGAAAGCAAUAUGUUCUGAAAUUUCACUUUAGUGCCACUCUUCAUAAUGGGUUUAUUGCCAAUUUUGACUCGUUUUACUUUGAUCUGGCUUUUUGAAUUUUGUUAUUGUUAUUGCCGGAAUGUAUAAGAGAUAGUAAAAUUAUCCUGUCUUUGGGCUUUUUGCCAGAGAAAUUAGCUAAACCUAGUCUUAAUCUAUGUUUUUCAGAUCUGGUUAUAAAUCUGAUAUAGAUCGUGUUUUCAGAGCAGUGUUUGUGAUUGAAAUAUAAGUAAUGAAUUCUAUAACUGAUUUUUUUGUGGUAGCUGAACGACAUUUAAAAGGCCAUAUUGUUAACUCUUGCAUGCUAUAUGGGUUUUGGUUUCUUUGUGCAAGUCUUCUGUUUCUUUUAAGUGAUACACAGUUAUUUCUGUUCUCACCACUAAAUACUUUAUUAGAAUGUAGCCCAAACGAAAUACCUGAGGAUCACUGUCAGCAUAUUUUCAAUAUGUAUUUUGAAAAGAUUUCAGGUUAACAAAUGUAUUAGUGAAAAUGGCAGAUUCCUUUUCAAAGUUUAUUUUACUUUCCCAAUUUGGGUAUAGUGAAGUUUAAGGGCAAUUAUUUAAAUUAACAUACUAUAGCAAGACUAAGAGAAAUGUCUUUAAAUGAAAAGACAGUAAAUUAAAUGUAAAUAUUACCUGAUCUUAUUUACUAACUUGGAGAGCUGAAGAAGAGAAAUUUCCUAAAAGUAAGCUACAUUUGAGCAAAGCAUGAAACUCUUUAAAAAUUCAAGAAUAAUUGAAUUUACCAUCUGAUUGACAUCCCUUUUAUGCAUUGAUAAUAAUAUCCAAAUCAUCCUAUUUUUUCACAGAGGGGUUUCCAUAUAAAUCAGAUGAACUCUGUAAGACGUCAUAGAGGUAAAUGUUGCGUAUUAAUUGUGAGUACAGUCUGUGAGCUGCCGGAAAUCUUCUAGUUCAUUUGGGCCAUUUUCUUGCAGUUUGAUUUAUCCUGAGGUGAACUCAAUGCAUAUUGACAGUGUGUUAAAUGUGAAAUGUCCCUUGUUCUUGUACAGGUAUUUUCUAAGUUAAAAAAAAAAAAAAAUUUAGCAUGCUGAUACUUUUAUCUCUGACCCCAUCACUCCCCCUUUUUUUGAAGUGCGUAACUUCUGAUUUUUUUCUUUACUAUAUAGUGAAUGACAAUAGUUAAAUUAUGUUUUACUGUUCUAUUCCUCUGUAUCCAGACCUUUUCAUUCUGAUACUAAAUUGCUACCUGUUUUGUUUUGUUUUGUUUUGUUUUAGAGGAAAUUGCUACUUGGUAUACUCCUAGUAGUGAUUCUUAUUCAUGAACAGCUGAAUAGGUAAAACUUUUGGUAAUAAUUUACUCAGGCAGUACUUUGAGUGCCAUAUUCUGGGAAUGCUGUGUUGAAGCUGGGAAACUGAAUGUUCUUUUUCCAUCACAGAAUUCCUGAAUUGAAUGGGAAAUACCCAGCUGAUUCUCUGGAAAGAACUAAAGGCAUUGAAGAAAACCAGAUAUAUAUUCAUAUUAAGUUUUAGCUGAAAAUGCAGUAUGACUAAGGGGAGUUGGUGUAUUUUCAGAUGUGAAGCCAUCAUUAAUUUUAGGCCAACGGCUAACAAUAAGAUAAAUUGUUAGUUUAUAGGGAAGCAAAGAGCAGUAUGGCAUAAACUCAUAUCUCAGAAAUGAAAAAUUUCAAAGUAAGAUUGCAGUAUUUGAUUAACCAACAUUGUGCUUCCUAGCUCUGCCCUGGACUGUGAGGCCGCUGUCAGGACUGCAAGUCUUAGAAUCAGAAGUGACUGAUUUCUCCUAUUAUUAAAUUCUCAUGCCUUCCCUUUUGAUUUGAUAUGCUGAGAUUGACUGAUGGUUUAUGUUUAUAAACUUACAGUCCUGCCUGUAUCCUGUUACCAGUGACCCUGGUGCUAGCAUCUUGAAGAGGUUAUGUUAUUAGUCAUUAGCAUUUUGAGCACGUGUGUGCAUAGAAUACAGUUAACAGACCCUAUAGGGAGAUCAAGAGAUAUUUUGGAAUUUGAUGAUGAUAUUGGUCUUUAUUACAGAAGUCCAUUUCAUUUUAUUUCUUUCCAAUGAUUAUAUGAGUGUCUUUUUUUUUUUUUUUUAAAGAACAUCACAGUAAUAGUAUUUAUUUCCAUUGGUUUGUUCAUGGUUUCAACAACUCUUCUGUAAUACCUCUUAAUUUCCUCUAUUAGAAAGUAUUUUCCUGUUAAAUAAGGCAUCAAAAGCAUCCAUCAGAAGAAAUCUAGAAAAUGUAUUAGGAACAACUUGUAUUAGUAUGUUCUAAACUAAAAUGGAACAAUUCAUGAUUGAUAUUUUAAUAAACAAAACUUCUGAAUGAUCUUGCCAAAUUAUCCUGUUAUUUAGAAGUAUAACAUAAGAGAAUGCUUUCAAGGAAAUUUGUCAUAUCCACUGUAAUGCCUAGAAGUUGACAGUACAUUAUAAUAAAACUGAGAAUUACCUGAUUGCUGAAAGGUUACCAUGAA